GCUAUUUGGAAAGCAAAAGAAAACUACUUGUGAUAUCACAAUGUGAAAUAUUAGAGAUAAACUCAAUCUUGAGUGAAAGCAUGUAUUUAUUGCGUAGGUGAUGCACCCAAGAUCAAGACCAACUUUGAUGGACACUGAAACUCACAAUAAGCUUAAAGAAAAAUGUGUUUCUGAAGACAGUUGCAGAUCUUAGCCCUAGGAUUCAAGGUGGCUCUCGCAUAAGUUAUGACAUCGAACUUUUUAGUCCUUGUGUCUAUGACAUGAUGAACAUCAAAAUCACCAGUGGCCUCUUAGAGAGGAUGGAAGGCUUGGAAAAUACUUGUCCGGUAGAUGGUGCCAGCUGGGACUUUCUUCCUUUUCAGGAAAAGGAAUAAAGAUAUAAACAAAGAGAACACUAAAGGAGGCAUCAUUGAAUAGAAGAUAUCAACAUGAUUUAAGAAGAUGGAACAAACGAGGAGAAAUGACUUUUCUAGCAGCAUGGAAUAAUUUGAAAUCAACCCGGUUUGAUAAAACCAAGUGGAUAUCUAACACUCAUGUUCACUUAAAUGACUUUUCAAGUUACUCAAAAUAAAGCAAAAAUCCUAUACAGAACCCAGCCCGGCUUGAUCUGCUUCCCAUUACAUCUCUGACCAUGUUGCCAGUCUUCUCCCAUGCAUUUACUUUACUCCAACCACUGAGGUUCCCCGUGAAUCUGACACACACCAGUUAGGCUUCUGCCUCAAAGGCUUGCAUUUCCUUGUCUCUCUGAGAGGAAGGAUCUCAGAGCAUCACCAUGGCUAGCCAACUCACUUUCACAUGUCCUCUCUUUAUUCAAAAGCCACAGAGAUUCUCUGAGGCCAUUCCGGCUAAAACCUCAACUCCACCUCCAUCCCAUGUCAUCCUUGCAUGGUCUGUUUUGUAUUCCUGGCAAUUAUAAUUGACCAGUAUACUAUGCAUGUUACUUAUUUCUUGUACAUAUUAUUC